rnacentral:rRNA from 1 species
UGUGAGUGUUCAAGAGCGCAUGGUGGAUGCCUUGGCAUCAGGAGCCGAUGAAGGACGUGGUAACCUGCGAUAA